rnacentral:rRNA from 1 species
UGCUAAUGUGGGAUUAGGUUUUAAACAUUAAAUUUGUUUAGCCAGCUAUCUCUAGUUGAUUUGAGAGAGGAAUCAGCCACAUAGGGUAUGAAAAUGACCCUACCCUGGGCAGCAGUGGGGAAUUUUGGGCAAUGUGCGAGAGCAUGACCCAGCGAAUUGACAUAAGUGAAGAAGACUGUGUUGUAAAGCUUAUUCAAGGGGGAAUAUAAAAAGAAUUUAACCUCAUUUAGAAGCCAUGGCCAAUCCAUGUGCCAGCAGCCGCGGUAAGACAUGAGUGGUGAGCGUUAUUCGUCUUAAUUGGGUGUAUAGGAUACGUAGGCGGUAAAACAUUUUAUAUAUAACACCAACAAUGUAUGGGUUUUUAUAUAAAACGUUUUUAUUUACUAGAAUUUUUUGGAAAUUAUAUAAAGUUUUUGCGGAUUAGUGAUCGAAUAUGUGGACUCCGCAAGAUUUACCGAAGACGAAGGUAAUUUCUUACAAAAAAUUGACGCUGAGGUAUGAAAGUAUGGAAUUCGAAUAGGAUUCGUAACCCUAGUAGUCCAUACAGU